rnacentral:rRNA from 1 species
AACGAACGCUGGCGGCAUGCCUAACACAUGCAAGUCGAACGAGACCUUCGGGUCUAGUGGCGCACGGGUGUGUAACGCGUGGGAACCUGCCCUUAGGUUCGGAAUAACUCCCCGAAAGGGGUGCUAAUACCGGAUAAUGUCUUCGGACCAAAGAUUUAUCGCCUUUGGGUGGGCCCGCGUUGGAUUAGCUAGUUGGUAGGGUAAAAGCCUACCAAGGCGACGAUCCAUAGCUGGUCUGAGAGGAUGGUCAGCCACACUGGGACUGAGACACGGCCCAGACUCCUACGGGAGGCAGCAGUGGGUGAUAUAGGACAAUGGGCGAAGGCCUGAUCCAGCUAUGCCGCGUGAGUGAUGAAGGCCUGAAGGUUGUAAAGCUCUUUUACCCGGGAUGAUAAUGACAGUACCGGGAGAAUAAGCACCGGCUAACUCCGUG